rnacentral:rRNA from 1 species
UCAGAUUGAACGCUGGCGGCAUGCCUUACACAUGCAAGUCGAACGGCAGCACGGGAGCUUGCUCCUGGUGGCGAGUGGCGAACGGGUGAGUAAUACAUCGGAACGUACCCUGAAUGGGGAUAACGUAGCGAAAGUUACGCUAAUACCGCAUAUUCUGUGAGCAGGAAAGAGGGGGAUCGCAAGACCUCUUGCUUUAGGAGCGGCCGAUGUCGGAUUAGCUAGUUGGUGAGGUAAAAGGCUCACCAAGGCGACGAUCCGUAGCGGGUCUGAGAGGAUGAUCCGCCACACUGGGACUGAGACACGGCCCAGACUCCUACGGGAGGCAGCAGUGGGGAAUUUUGGACAAUGGGCGCAAGCCUGAUCCAGCCAUGCCGCGUGAGUGAAGAAGGCCUUCGGGUUGUAAAGCUCUUUCGGUGGGGAAGAAAUUGCUUCGGUUAAUACCUGGAGUAGAUGACGGUACCCGCAUAAGAAGCACCGGCUAACUACGUG